rnacentral:lncRNA from 1 species
CCAAGUCCAGCACUAAACCUUGUCCCCAAAUGCCACCUUUGCACAUCUUCCUUGCCCAUGCACAGGACAAAAAACAUCCCUGGUGCUGCACAGCAGCAGGAUUGAGUUAAGUCAGCAAAACUUAAGAGGCACAACGAUUUUCCCAGGAAAAAUAUUUGAUUUCUGCUGCUCUCUGCUUUCUAACAUCACUUAGAGAGAGGGAAUGUGGCUUCCCCUGGUUCUCCAGCCCCAGGCUCUUUUCAGUGAGCAAACUGGCUGCCACAUUGUGCAUAACCAGGACAAAAUUGUUAGAUUUCCUCUCCUUACAGAAGCCACCUCGUCUUUGUUUGCCAUUUGUCCUUUUGUUGCCAGAAGCUUUCAUCACCUGCACAACGAAGGACAUGCAAACGGAGGUGUAGCCUCACUGUUGGAAUUUGUGGGUAUUGAUGAUUCUGAAAUUGCAGAAAGUCUCUGUCUGUCAGCCCCACUGCCAAAGCAGAAGCCAUAAUUGGUCUGUGCUGUUUCAAGGUUGUUUAUUCUGUUUAUCUCUAACAUGUUCUGCUGCCCUGCCGCAGCUCUGUCCUGCAGGGCAGCGUGUGGGGCUCUGCCCUCAGUGGGAUGGUACAAACAUUAAAUACCACAAACUCCCUGUGCUGGAUUUACAAUAACGUGCCAAUAUCUGUCACCUACGUUGGACAGUGUGUCCCCAGCCUGAACCAACAGAAAAAUGCCAACACCACAGUGAAACAUGGAGGGCAUGAAGAAGGAGAAAAAGGACAAGGCACACCCAAUUUCCUCCAUCUUGUCCCCUUUGAACCCCUAAUCUAGAAUCCUAAAAUUUUACUUUUGCACCCGUGCCACACUUAAUUAUUACUGAUAUCAAACACUCAGAGCUUGUAAUUGAUCCUGUAAGAUUGAAAACUCUUUUCCAUGGACAGAGAUCACAGCCAGUGUCUCUGGGGGCUCUGUCCAGGGGGGUUCCUGACCCCUGCCAGGGUCCCAGGGCAGCCAGAGGGAUGCCCUGGACUCCCACACCUCACCACUCUAUUCCCAUGGAAAGCUCAAAAGGCAAGUCCCCAGCUGUCCCUCGGGGAGAGACAUGAAUUGUCAUUUUAGAGACGCCUCAAUCCUCACAUUUUUAAGUUAAAACAUUCCUUGACAUUUUCCAGGCCAGAUUGGACAGUGGUGCUUGGAGCACCCUGGGACAGUGGAAGGUGUUGGUGACAAUGGAUGGUCUUCAAGGUCCUUUCCAACCAAAACUAUUGGGAUCUAUGAUUGAUAUCACAUUUACUUGUAAUAGGCAUUUUUCUGGAUGUCUGGGCAUUAAGACAAACAAUUUCAGCGAUAAGAAUUCAUACAGAUUUCCAAAGUACACAGUUCUUAAACCAUUAGGUCUUCAUUGGUUACAAUUAUACCCAAACUUUGGAUUAAGUGUCUUUGCAGGCUGUGAACCACAAACCCCAAUAUCUUUGCCAAACUACCACGGACCUCAGCUAAAGCAGGACUCUGCCCUUCUUUAGGGUUUCUCACCCUGCCAAACUGGCAUAAACCCUCCAUAAAUUUUGUAUCUAGGAAAUAUUUUAAACCCGAAACAUUUCCAUCAGAAUUGCUAAUGCUGGAUUCUACAGAGAAACAUUCCCAUCCCUGGGAGUGCCCAAGGCCAGGCUGGAGCAACCCAGGAUAGGGGAAAUGUUAAUUUAGAAAAUGCUAAUUAGACCAGCUAGAAAAUACAGAUGAAUAUAAACUGCAAAGGAUAUAAAAUCUUCUGCAGAAAAAGUUUGCAUGGAAGGAGAGCAAUUAAUCCCACUGCCACUUAAUAAAGACAUGGAAUUUGGGGAGCACAAGCCACACAAGGUGUCUCAAACCAAGGCAGGUGUUGAUAAAACACUAUGGUUAAGGUGACAAGAACUACAUUUCUUCGUUUUUCUGUGGAAAAAGUUGCAUGCUAAAGUGUAUUUUGUUCUGAAGUAUAAUAACAGUUUGGGGAAAAUAGAGCAAUAAUAAAAGUUUAAAAAUACCUUCCUAUAAUAGAAUUGUUAGUUUACUGGAAUAACCUGAAAAAUGCUGAGCAUCUGAAGAGACAGACAAAGAGAGCUGGCAAUUUUGGGUGGAGACUGGAUAAUCAUGAGAUUAUCCAUGUUUCAUGGGGGGAAACAGAAUUUUAGUGGAAAAGCCACUUGUGUUUCGGUGAGGUAGCAGUCAGGAAAAAUAAUCCCACUGAAAUUAAACCUUAGUUUCACUUUGAUUACCCAAGGCAGAGUAUCUUGAUGAGGAAUGUGGUGAGGAACAAGGUCCCAAGUCCUCAGCAGAAGGAGAGGAACAGCAGGAAGGCACAUCUGUGUUUUGUCUUGGUGCAUAAUGAAGCCUGAAAGAACUUCCAGAAAAUUUAUGAGGAACUCUCAGACACCUUUCACACAUUUGAGAGUAAUUUUUUAUAAAUGCUAUUGCCCAAAGUCUGGGGACUGCAGGAAAAUCAAAGUCAGACUUUUUGCCCCAGCUGCAAAAUACAGACCUGUGCCUGGGGAAGGAAAACAACAGGAAUGAAAGUGACAGGUAAAAUUCCAGGUUUUCUUGGGACAGCAAAUCCAUACAGGAGCAAAAACAAAGCUGCUCUGAUUUAUGCUGCUGACAUAAAAGACUCCUCACCUAUGAGUGCCUAACAGCCCCUCUCCUCCCUGCAGCACUGGAGCUGGCAGGAAAUUCCAGAUAUCCACGGAACUGAGCUCCUGAAAUGAAAGCUGCCAUUCAGAACCAGCCUGAGGAAGGCAGCAGCACUGAAAUUUACCAUCUCAGCCAUACCUGCAUUGUAAAAACUUUUUCAGUUUUACUGUGGUGGGACUUUGGCCACAGGACAGCCAAAGUUCAGCCCUGAGCUGCUGACAUAUUAAAUCUAAACAUACCAAUAACUGUGGUGUGAAACCACAGUUUUGUUCCCAUUUCAAUUCUGUUGUGUCUAGCAGAGGCAUUUCUGAUGCAGGGAAAAUAAGGAAGGAUUGGGAUCACACUGCACUUGAAGAAAAAAGAAUAUUCCAGAAUACUUCAUGCUUUUUUUCUUCCCUUUCCUUUUUUUUAUUUUUUUUUUCUUAAGCCAGACUUCCCCUGAUAAGAUGCCUGUUGUAAUGAUUUAUGGACAUCCACACAGCAAGACUGGAAAAAAAAACCCCAAAAAACCAAAACCCUUGUGUAACAAACCUUCAGAUAAUCCCAAACUGUAGAAUUUAAGAUUGUUCUAUUGCCAGCAUUUUCAUGGCCAUUUUUAUAGCAGUGGGUUGUUUUCUCAAUUAUUUUCCUACAGCAAAUCCUAUUCCAAACAAUAGGCAGGGAAAGGCAUUCUGGAGUGUAAAUCACUAUAGCAAGCUUCAGGAUAUGGAGCUUUAGAGUGAACCCACCACAGAACUGCUGGCUGGGGAAAAGUCUGAGGAGAUGUUGUCAUAUGAGUUAAAGUGAAAAAUUGUUUAAAGCCACCAUUAGGACACAUUACCAGAGGUUUAGAUGUCCAAAAAUAUUUCUUUUUUUUUCCUUUUCUAAGCUUUACCUAAGGAAUGUGAGUUCAUGCCAGUGGUAAUGUCAGAUGACAAAGGUGUCAGUCUCACAUAGCAGCAAUGAAAGUCCAUUUACAGUGCAGAUGAACCUUUAUUCACAUGCUCAACUUCACUAUUUAGUUAGUCCUAACCACCAGGAACAUUAUAUGUACUUACUCUUUUUCACUCUUUUCCAGUUCAUCAGCCCCCUUAAAACCACAAAAGAUGGCUUUUGUUCUUUUUCCAGGCCCUCAUUAAAACUGCAACCUACCUUUAUUUUCUUGCUGCCUCUAUAUGUCUUGUUAAAGUGUUUGCCAUGCUGCCUCAAAAAAUAAAGUGGCAGAAAUGUACAGAGCAAUGAAUCAGAUGUAAACAAAGGUAUCUGCAGCCUGAACCUGCUUUAUGAUGUUCCAGGGCUGUCUGUUAUAAAGCAUAUUUCCUGGUGAAGAAAACAGAUAACCCCUCUAUCUAAAAGACAAUUUGGAAGCAGGGACAGGGAGUUUAAUCAUGAUUUCUACAGCCUGCUUUCAAUGUAACCUCUUAGCAUGUGAACAGUGAUCCUCUGAGUCGGUGAAUAAAUUGAUUUUUAAUAUAUUUUAGCUGCUGUGAGAUGGAAAAAAAAUAUUUUGGAGAAUUUCAUGCAUAGAAUAUUUAAAUUUUCUGGCCUAAAUUACUUUGGUCUACAGUCAAAUAUUUAUGGCAUGAGUUAAGGCUUUGGCUUGUGAGACAAUUCUUGGCUUUCUCAGCAGUGACACAGCUUUCUCAGUCAUGUAUUGGGCAUUUAUUAAUUAAUGACAAGGUGUUAAUGGAAGAAAUCUGCUCCAAACUCCUCACUGAGUGUUUUCCAAGCAAUAUCUAUAUAUAUAUAUUCUUUUAGCAUCUCAUCAGGGAAGGGUGUCUCAGCAACAUGCAUUUUUGUUGUGGCCAUCGUGUCAACUAGAUUUCUCUUAUGAGAGGGUUUGAGAAAAAAACAUGUUAGGCCUAAGUCAGAGUCUAAUCUAAGUCCAUAUCUAGCCCUUUUCUAGGUGAGACCUAAUACAUUCCCAUAAAUCAAACUGUUAAGGGAAAAAAAAUAAGAUAUUUUAUGAAGAUUUGUUCUCUUAACUCUGACACCCACAAUGUCACACUAGCACAGGCAAUUGCAUGGCUUUCCUCACUUAAAAAACAUGACUCAGCCUUAGAUUUUUAAAAAAAGGCCUGAAAUUAAUUAAUGCUGCGCCAGAAUUUACCUUAUUUCUGCAAGCAAAUUGAAACAGCACUUAAAAACAUGCCAAUAUUCAAAAUAUAACAUAACAGCACGCAGAAAAAACACCAUCUUUAAAGUGAAAACUCAUUUUCUCAUGUAAAGGAAAAGUCCUAAAGGAGUUUUAGCUGGGAUUUUUUUUUUUCCUGGACUGUCAGAAGCUGUUUCACAGGACCCCUCACAAGAGGCUGGUGAUAAGAACCCCGUGGGCACGAGGGGAAGGGCAGAGCAGGGCCAUGGGUCAGGGACGGAGACGCGCGAGCAUCCGCAGGCACGAGCGAUAAGGCUGGCAGGGUCAGUCCCCUGGUGCUACAAGAGUCAGGCAGGAGAUAAAACACGCUGGUUCACCUCAGUUACAACCACUGGUGUGCCUGCAGAAGACUUCAGGAGGACCAAAUGCACGAGCAGCCAAAGUGUGCUGGGAGGAGCUGCUCGCAGACCUCGCCAGGAGGUUCAGAAAUAGAGGUUGAGCCCCUCCAGAGCUUCCUCUGCCACGGGAAAUACAUCCACAGCACCAGCCCUUCCCUCACUCCUCAGCUCCUAAAACGUACCAAACCCUACAGGGGAACUUUGGCAUGCACGUGGUAAAAGAAGUUGAAUUUUGGCUGUCAAUUAGUGGUACACUUGGACAACCCCAGGCAGCUCUGACUUGAUUCUCACCCAGCAGUAAAAGGUAUUUAUAUCUUCCUUUUCUCAGCCUCAUGCAACAGCCUAAACUUUCUCAGCCUAAACUUGCUUGUUUGGGCCAGUUAUUUUUCCUGUUCUUGGCUCCAGCCUUCCCAUUAGUGAGUAUUAUAAUGUUCAGGAAAAGAAAUCCAGCUGGUGGAGUGAAGGCUCCACACAAAUUAAACGGGAUGCUUGCAGCAUGCCUGUUUUCCAUCCAAACACUAUGUGCAUAUAAGUCAGGGUUACAAAAGCUGCUAUGUCUUCUAGAUUUCAUUUAUAGGUGCAUCUCAGAAAAGACAGUGAAAAAAUUUAAUGUGUCUUCAUCUAUUUUAUCUCAGGGAUCCAGGAGCAGCCACAGCUGCUCUGGGCACCCUGUGCUGGGGCCUGCCCACCCUGCCAGGGAACAACUCCUGAUUCCCAAUAUCUCAUCCAGCCCUGCCCUCUGGAAGUUUAAACCCAAAAUAAGAUGACCAUUUUGCCCGUUUCAACCAGCUUUACUCAAGAUUAAGUUCCUCCAUGUGGGCCAAAACAUGCAAGAAAUAUUUCACCUCUGAACUUCUUAAUAUUUUCUGCAAUAUUUUAAUACCCAAGUAGUAAUUUCUAAAAAUUAUUCCCUGAACAGAAACUUCAUUUCAUCAUUUAUCAUUUCAUAUUACAUAUAAAAGCAGUUUCUUAAGGGUUUUUUUUUUUGUAUUCUUUCUUUGUCUUCUUUUUUUUCCUUAGCAUAAUAAUCCUUGACAGGAAAUCUAGAGACGAAACUAAAAUUACAUUAUAACUUCUUUAUCUCCAUUUUGUAUUGUACUGAAUAGAGCAGAGCACUACAAAGUGUCUUCAAAUCAGCUUUCAGAAAGUUAAAAAUAAAGGAUCAUGAUGGAAUUGGAAGACUCCCACAGAAAUUUUAUAGGAAGUAGUGCCAGUCACACAGACACUUUGUGCUUGGAAAAUCCCUGCCUCCUCAUCAAGCUGUCCUGUACGAUUUCUUGUCACUAAAAUGUAGUUGAAAAAUGAAGAUGUGCAGGAGGCCAGCUUUGAUCCUAGCUGUUUCUGAAGAUUAAUUGCUUUCUAUAAAACCCCCUUGAUUUUGGAUUUGCACCAAUGGAUUGUGGAGAUUCUUUCUGGUGCCACAAUCCAAAAUCUGGAUUCUGCUCUGCGCCACUCCCAGUGGGCGAUGCCCUUAUUGGGAGAUGGUCACCAUAAGUCAAGAUAAACAACUUAAAUUUCUUUCUCAUCCACGGUUUUCCUCUGCAAAACUCCUUUUCUUCACCAUUUUACCUGAUCCUGAGCAGAAAUUGGUUUGGACAUUCAAAAAUUAAGUCACCUUUAUUCCUGAAGCCCAAAAUCCUGGACUGGGAGGAGGAGAGGCAUUUUCAUGGAAAGAAUCAGGGUUUCACCCAAUGUGUGUGAUAUUUUUCAGAAGGUAUGCUUUGUUUGGAAUUUUUUAUGACAUUUCCUCCUCCCUUCCAGCUGCCCACAGGGAUUCCCAUCAGCUCACUUGUCCCUGGUGGUAGAUAGGCCUGCUGUGAGUUAAUUGUGAUCAGUGAAUUCACACAUGAGGAGUUUUGUUCCAAUUCAGUCAGCAUGAAAACGCUUUGUGGCACAAGCUUUACUGACAGUGAAAGUGGGAAUUUUAUCUUCUGUUAAUCCUCUGUUGGUGAAUUUUGGACUGGGCAACGCAAGGAUAUAUGGGAUAGUAGCAUGAUUGGAACAAAGCAACUAAAACUGAGCAAAAAUGAGUCAGCUUUCAUCUGACUGUUCUCUUAAAUGGUUGAUGUUUUCAUAUUGUAUGUAUUGUAUUGUUUUAUUCAUAUUUAUUCAUAUAAAUAGGCUCAGCUUGGCCACAGAGCAUUUCACUGCUUCCAUUAAACCUUUAUAGCUUGACAGGCAUCACCUCCACAAGUUAUCAGCCACACACUGGCUUCUAGACAUAUCCCAGCUAAUUUAAUUCAGGGAGAAUUGUUAAUUUCCCACAGGUCCAAAUGGUCAGUGGAAGGGGAGACACCUAAUUUUGGGUCUCAGUGCAACUCCUGAGCUCCUCAGCACCAAUGCAUUUCCCAGUUCUGGCAGCAUCUAACACGUGCUAUGUGACAAGAAGUUACCCUGGCAACUCACUCCUGUUUCCCAACACCAUCCCUCCCUUAGCCCUGGGGUUCUGGGAAGAGCUGGGAUGGGAAAGGCUGGCUGGGCAGGGAGGCUGUCAAGAAAGGAGGUGAAAAACUGGGAAAGUUUGAGGUAGAUGACCUAAUCACCAGGCAGAGUCAGAAAAUAUUCCAGGAUAAAUAUCAGGUCCUUUGUUCCAAAGGAAACUUCUUGUUCAGAGUCAGACAGUCUUUCCCAACAUCAGAUAAGAUCUUGGCAGGAGGAAGCUCCAAGCACCUAAAGGACAUAAAUUCUGAACAGUUUGGAGAUUCAGUCUUUGUGUAGAGCAAGGCUGAUGAUGUCUGCAAAAAACCUAAGCAUUAAAAAAA